rnacentral:lncRNA from 1 species
GGUGUCUCGGGUUGUUAAGGAUGCGAUAUUGAAAAAGCCAUAUGAUAUUCUCUAUGUAUCUCAAGAUCUAGAGUAGUGAUUAAUCUUGGAAGAUAUAGAUAUCAAGUCUUUUACAUAGGGUUUUAAUUGCAUUUAAUGCGAUCUACACCCAAAAAACUGAAUAUAACAUUGUUAAAAUUUUCACUUUCAAAUCUAUUUACUUUCCUAGUUU